GUUUAGUGAAUACCUACAAAUCGUUCUGAGACGAAUUGUAACCUAAAUUUUGAUCCUUUUGUUCUAUGGCUUUUGUUUCUUGUUUCACCACGUGCCUAAAGUCAUACAGCUUCCAGUUUUACAGAUGACAUGUACAUAGGGCUUGACCUUUUUACACUUGCUUUCUUGCUUCUUAAGCUAAAAUUGAGGAAAGGAUUGUGACAAAGUUUCCACUGUAUUUAAGAGCCAGUAUGUUCAGUGGAUUUAGCCAGUAAAGGGAUGUUGAAGCCAUUGACAUUGACGAUUCCACAAAGAUUCCUCUAUAAACAGAAACCCAAAUUGGAAAUGGCGGAGAC